rnacentral:rRNA from 1 species
CCUACGGGAGGCAGCAGUGAGGAAUAUUGGUCAAUGGACGCAAGUCUGAACCAGCCAUGCCGCGUGCAGGAAGACGGCUCUAUGAGUUGUAAACUGCUUUUGUACGAGGGUAAACUCCGAUACGCGUAUCUCUCUGCAUGUACCGUACGAAUAAGGAUCGGCUAACUCCGUGCCAGCAGCCGCGGUAAUACGGAGGAUUCAAGCGUUAUCCGGAUUUAUUGGGUUUAAAGGGUGCGUAGGCGGUCGGAUAAGUUAGCGGUGAAAUCCCGAGGCUCAACUUCGGAAUUGCCUCUGAUACUGUGCGGCUAGAGAGUAGUUGCGGUAGGCGGAAUGUAUGGUGUAGCGGUGAAAUGCUUAGAGAUCAUACAGAACACCGAUUGCGAAGGCAGCUUACCAAGCUACGUCUGACGUUGAGGCACGAAAGCGUGGGGAGCAAACAGGAUUAGAUACCCUAGUAGUC